rnacentral:lncRNA from 1 species
UUGUAAGUCCUAUUUCCCCCGUUCGGGAAUCUCUCCCCGGAGGGCAGCCACAGGUGCCUUUUCUGGGCCGAGCUCAGGUGGGGCUCACCACUGAAGCGAUUAAAUUGAACAGGUGCCUCUACUCAGCCUUUUACCGCUUGCACCACGCCCCAUUCCAUGGAAUCCCCAGCCCCAGCUUUCUUUGGAAAAUCAAACAAGGCCAAAAGGGACAGAGAAGCGCACGGGUGUGACCAACACUGGUCCUCCCCCAGGUCAGUAAUUAGUGAGGUCGGGGGAGGGGCUGCCCGCGCACAGUGGGUCCUUAAUGGCUCCUGCCCCGGAGACUGCCUUCAGAUCGACAGCGGAGUGAAUCGCCAUGAAAAAUUCAUCAGCCUUUGCAGGUCCGCGGCCCAGAUCCGGGCGGAGCACACGAUCCCGGCUGGAGCAAGGGCCAUUAAAACAGUCGCCGCCGCAGAGGGGAGGCCGAGCACUGCCCUCGCAGAACUAUAAGGUUUGAAACUGACGGGGACAUGGAGAUUAAAAUCCAACUUCCAGGAUUCACAGCCAUGAAGCGGGGUGCUCGUGACCUCUCCCAUGUCCAGCCAAGCCAAGAUAUGAAGCCAUGCCUCCUGAUUCCAUACUGGGGAAAUGUUUCACUUUCCUAUGCUCUUGACCACAACCAGCUCAUCAUCCCUCGGGCUUGAAGAACAGAUCCCUCACUCCCUGAAAAAACUGGGGUACACGAUUCCAUCUAGGGUCUCCCACAGUGCCUCAUCCUCCUCGGCUCCCUUUCUGUCUCACACUCUGACCCCUCCCCCGUUCCUCCCCUCUUUACCCCUCACCCUAAUCUUGGCUGACAUCCCAAGCUGCGUGUUCUUUUCCAGCACCUCAUCGAGCCAAGACUAACGGGAGGUCACCACGCUGGGGACCGGGCCAGCAGCAAAUUGCGCCUAUUGGACUUUAGAGGAGCCCUCACUACCACUCAGUGCUUUCAACGUUUGUUGACUCCUGCAUUGCAGAUAUUCCAAAUGUUUCCUUCCUGUCUUCAGCUCUUGCCCUUACAAUACCUCACAGUUUGCAAGACAAAUUCUUCUUUCCGGAGAUGAAGUUUGCCUCACGUGAGUGUCCCCAAUGUUGCCUCUUUCUCACUUAAAAUGUUUGCAUCAUCUCCUACCUUGUCAUUCUCACUUACCUCAGGGGAUAAAAGUCCUUAGUCUUUUCCAAACCAAAUGCAUCUACUUUUACUGCUACUAUAAAAUAUUGAGCCCAAACAAAACAGAAAGAAGGAGGAGCUUAGAGAAAAUAUAAUAAACAAAAGGAAACUUCAAGAAAAUACCA